ACAUACACACACAGAGACACAGACAAAGGGAGAAGCAGGCUCCAUGCAGGGAGCUCGAUGUGGGACUCGAUCCCGGGUCUCCAGGAUCACGCUCUGGGAUCAUGAUCCCACCCAGGGAUCCCCAAGCGCAGUUCUUUGAAGCCAUUUUAGUUCUCCAGAUUAAAGAGAGAUGAGGAGUGGAACAGAGAGGAAUUAAUAUUAAUGAGAGAACGCUUUAAAUUUGUGUACUAUCCUACAACUUGGAACAUAGUCACACAAUUAUGACCACAUCUGAAUUUCUUAUUAUCUGAGCGAGGUAGCAGGUUAAGAAUUAGUUUCCCCAUUUUCCUGACACAACUGAAGUUCAAGGAAAUGAGUUUAUUGUCAAUAAAACAGAGUGUAAAUGAGCAGCAGGGCCAGGACGUGGGUCCCCUGCCUCCUCGGGGCAGCCCACUUUCCACGGCACCCCACUGCUUCACACUUCAAGUUACUAAAACAAGAAGUGAAACCACUGUAGUUCUCUUUGUACUUGACAAUGGUCAAGGGUUUUUCACUGAAACCGUGAAUUGUUAGGCAAAUACAUAUGCAUAUAUAUAUAUAUAUAUAUAUAGAGAGAGAGAGAGAGAGAGAGAGAGAGAGAAAAUAUACUGAACUAUAUAUAUUAUAUAUUGUAUAUAAUAUACUGAAUUAUAUAUGUGUGUAUAUGUAUAUAUAUAUAUAUAAUUAAUUAUACCACUUUUCUUUCCAUAAAGGGUGUGAGGGAGGCAAACAAAGUAUGCAUGGAUAAUAAGGGUCAUCCAUAAGAACCAGAAAAGCUGGAUAAAAAUUGGAAAAGAGGAAAAGAAGACACUACAAGUAAGCUUUGGCAUAGUGCUUCCCCAUUCAGACUCCAGAGAGCAUCUCCAGCCCCUUGGCCCCCCUGCCCCAGUGUUUUGGAUGUUGUGGCUUCUGGAGAAAGCCACAAGCCCAGGCUUACCGUUGGCCAUGCCUGCUUUGGGCUUCAUUUUUAUGUGAGCCUCCCUAACUCAAAUAUAAAAUGAGGGUAGCACAUUACUCUGUGAACUGCUGUCAGGAGUAAGCAUGACUGCACGUAUAUGCAACACUAUUUUUAUGGAGGAGUAAUCCUCUGGGACUUUUUUUUUUUUCCUCUGGGACUUUAUAAAGGGUGAACAGAAAGAAAUAUUGAGUGGUCUUCUCAAAAACAGCAUUAUAGCAAUUGCUAUUUUCCAACCCGUGGACCACAGGAGGACUGUAAUUGUAAUUAUGCAGUUUCUUUCUGACUCGGCUCCCACCCAUGGGAUUGUCAGAACCCUAGCCUCUUUCUGGACUUUGUUUCCUUGGUAGAAAUCACCAGCAGGUUCCUGGAGGGUCUUUUAUGAACACAGUCUUCCACAAGAAUAACUAAGCUCUGUGAGGGCAGGGAGCAUGUUCACUUAUCCUUUGCUGUCCUAGCCCUGAGCUCGAUGGCCUGCACAUAGCAGAUCAAACAACACCUAUUUAAAGAAUUAGUGAGUGAACGAAGAACCAUCUCUACAGGGAUGUUGUCCUCUGUGCCUCAAGGACGCCGGUUCCAGAGCACAGCUCUUUGCUGCCCUUGCAUGUCUGGGGCUCUAGCUUUCCACAGCUGUUUCUUGUCUCUGUUGUUGUCUGCAUGGAUGUUCUUAACUACUUCCACCACUUGGUUCCUUCACUCCAAGUAUUUCAAAAGUUACUUUGCAGAGGAAGGGAAGAGGACUUAUAACAGUUAUCCUCAGUCACUAUAUUUAGGUCCUACUCUACGGCUUUAUGUCUGAUAUCAAGUUUAAAUUCCCAUACCAUGACCCUGAGUUGGAUACUGGUAAUAUCAUCAUUAUUACCCAUUGGGAAACAAAGACUCUGAGACUCUAAGUAACAUAUCCAAAGCCACACAGCUAGUAAAUGCUCAGCUAUGAUUUAAACCCAGUCUUUCUUAUAUCUCAAGUCAACUAGGCUAGAUGGUUUCUCUAAUGCCUUCCUUUUAUAUCCUAUAGAGAUUUUACUACCACUGUUCUUUAUUUUUAUUUCCUCCUUGCUAUGGCUAGAGCUCAGCACCAGAACCCAAAUACGAAGGUGAAACCAAAGGAGGGGUGUUGGGCUGAAGGCUGAGCUGUAUAAGAGACAUCAAGCACCCCAUGAAAUCAACUAUUCCCUCUGAGGAUGAAGGACUAAGCCCUUCCCUCUUCAACUUUCUUUUCCAACAGAGUACAUUCUUUCCCAUGAUGUUCCCAGGACUUUAAUGCAGUUAGGCCCAUCCAAAUGGCCUUCCAGUUGGGCCCAGUUGAUUCUGUGUUCAUGGUAAUUACCUACCACCCUGCACUCAGUGGAUCCUUUCUGUCACAUGGCUUUAAAUACGUUAUUCCUUUCCAUCUCUUCAUUAAAUGGCAUUGGAAGGCAACUUGAUAUGGAGCUGAUAGAGUCUGAGUUCAUCAACCUUAGCAAUGUAACUUAACACAGCAUUUAAAAUGGAUGAUCUGGGGGAGGAGCUAUACAGCACGAAUCUUGCACUGGGUUUUGUGCUGGUAUCAUUACUCUCUCUUCUUUUAGCUUGGAUAAAUGAGAGGACCCCAAUAGCUCAGAGUCCAAGAGUGUGAAUUUCAACCUACCAUCUGGAACGGUAAUAAUCUGUUUAGCUAAUGGAAGAAGCAUCCUGAUGCGCUGAAAUCAGAAAUGGCUGUAAAACCUGACUUUUAUUUUCUUCCCAUAUAAUAGUCUAGCCAUUGUUAUUAAAUAUAGGGGGUAUAAAGGGCACCUGGGUGGCUCAGUUGGUUAAGCAUCUGACUCUUGAUUUUGGCUCAGGUAAUGAUCUCAAGGCUAUGAGCUCUUGCUCUGCAUUAGGCUGGGCAUGGAGCCUGCUUGAGAUUCUCUCUCUCCCCUUCUCCUUUUGCCUCUCCCCUCAGCUCUCUAAUAAACGAACAAACGAACAAAUAAAUAAAUAAAGUGCGGAUUAAGAAAAUCCUAUGUGGUCUUAUUUAUUAUAGGGGUGCUAGUCUAGCAGAUGUGUACAAUGGACUUGGGUUUGGAUCCUGGUUGCCACACCUUCACAAUAUAAUUUUGAACAAGUUUCUUAGGCUAGCUCUAGUUUGUUUUCUUGAGUAGUGAGUGUACGUCUCUCCUACUCUACAGGGCUACCAAGAAGGUACAAUAGAGAGUGAAAGGGAGACACAGCACAACUCUAAAUUUAGGUCUUGUAGGACCUACCUUAAGAACAGGAAAAAUCCCAAGCUUGAUACGAAGUUGACAUAGAAGCCUGGAAUCCUGAGGUCUCUAAGGCAGGAGGCCUUAUACGCAUAGUAAAACUCAAGCCUGUGACUCUUGGGGUGGGAGAAUGGUGUGUUUCAGGCUGGACCCCAGCUCUGAAACACACCACAUUACCAGACACUGCUGCUAGAAUUGAAGGCACAAAAGUCAUUGUUUGUGUUUUUGUUUUCCUUCCUUCCUCCUUUCUUUUUAGAGAGAUAGGGAGUGGGGGUGCCACAGAGAGAGACGGAGUCUGAACUCUCAAGCCGGCUCCACAAUCAGUGUGUCGCCCCAUGUGGGGCUCGAUCUCAUAACCCUGAGAUCAUGACCUGAGUUGAAAUCAAGAGUCAGAAGCUUAACCGACUGAGCCACUCAGGUGCCCCCAUACUCUUUUAAUGGAGCAGAAUCCUAGUGCGGCGGACAGUGAACCACCUGGGAGGGUGCAAAGUGAGAUCUGGUCUAGGCUCUCCACGUACUUGUAUAAUUGUGGGAAAGUCACUCAAGUGCCUUGAGGCUCAGACUUCAAUACAUAAAAUAGGGGUGAAUUGUACUUUCUUGGCAGACCUCAUUUAGCUAUAAUGAUAAUACUGACAAUACUAACAACGACUGCCUUUAAUUGACCAAUCGUUUGUGUAAACACUUUCUUCUUCUUUUUUUUUUUUUGUAUGUACUAAUUCAUUUACUGUGUCACAUCAAUGAAUUAGGAAGAUACUAAUUAUUUCCAAUUUACAGAUGAGGAGACUAACACUUGGAGACAUUCCAUAAUGUGUCCAGGGCCACCUGCUAAUAAAUGCGACCUUUGAGUUUAGGAUGUAAGCUCACUUCCACUUCACAGCAGGACUAUAUAGCACUGUUCUUUACCCAGAAAACUAUCCUCUCAAAAAAAUGCAUGAAACCUCCCAUCUCACCAUUGUACUUUUGAUUGAUAUUAACCAAAGGGAAGGAUUACUGUUGUUGUCACUUAUUGAUAUUAGUGUCACAACCAUAUGAGCCUGGGAAAAAGUUCAUCAGGGAUACACAUGAUUAAAGAUGUUUAACGAUGCACCAAGUGAGGACCACUAGAUGAUGGUCUUCCCGUAAACAACAUGCUUAAGUAGCUGUAUCAUUUUUUAGUCAGACUUCCUGAUAAGAAUCACUGACUGGUGACUUUACAGAGGUUAUGGGGGAAGUUCCAAAAUCUAAGGACUUUCCAGAUGGUUGGAAUAAAAUCACACACUCUGGGUUCUGUUACUGAGAGCACCAAGCUUUUCAAUUCAAAGUGAAACCGGUGGAAUAAAGAGUUGAUCAAAGAGAACUAAAUACACUGAGCACCAUGUGUGCUCAUCCGAUUGCUGCUGUUCCCCUGUGACUUAGGUACUACUUUCCUCAGUUUAGCAAUGAGGAAAUGGAUGCCCAGAGAGGAUGAGUCACACUUUUUAUAUGUAUUAAUAAUAACUAUCAUUUGCUUUUUUUUGGUUUUCUUUUCGGUACAUGCUGAGGACUAUUCUAAUAUGUAUAUCAAUUCGUUUCAUUGUUAAAAUGAUCCUUUGGGCAAGUACUUGGUACUGAAGCUACCAAGCUUUGCCAUUUCUCAGAUAAAGGAACUGAGGGGCAGAUGUGAAUUGUUCAGUUGGAAGAGGGAGGAAUAGGGAGUGAACCCAAGUUGGCCUGAUUCCCGGGACUACGUUCCUCCCGCAUGUAACAACUGCCAUGGCUUCCUGGCUACUUUACCAGGGCUGGUCAGAGGAGUGACCGGAGAAUAAAGUCGACAAGGUCUGAGAACUGAGAACCACAAAGAGGAAGGAACACCUUUGUCAGGUACUAGAACAUUGGCUGCUGAGAUCAGGGAGUUGGAGACUGUUGUCUAUCAGUCCACGUUUACAUGAAGAAUUAUCACCAUGCCUGUGUCAGAGGAUGCAGGCCCCAUACUGACGCGGUGCAGUGUACAUCCGGAGCGCACACAGCCCCCCUGUGCACAGCCUGUAGAGCCAGGGAGCCAGGGCUGCCCCGAGCCUGGAAGAGAUCACCAGCCAGAAACUAGAAGGACUUGAUCCAGGCGCCAGAAAAUUUUCUCUGUAAAGGGCCAAACACAAAGGAGAAACCUCCCAGCUAUUAAUCAAACUCCUGGCUGUGGAUAGCUUUAAUUGCAGAAACCACUGCUGGAUGAGGGAUGCUCAACUUUUCCAAAGAAAGCCCUCUGCCUAGUGCAGAAGAGAAACAAUUAAUUACCUGCUCCUCCUGUCCCCAACAGAGAUGCAGAUGAACUAACAAUAUUGCUGCUGGCAUCAGGUCCUCCCUUCCCCAGGUGGAGGCAAGCUAAUGCAAACUCAGACAACACUCAUGAAAGUGUAAUGCCCAAGUAGAGGUUUAGCUAGAAGGCUCUGGUGGGACCAAAGUUUUGCCUCUCCCUGGCGUCUGUACUUGAAGACGGAUACAGACAAGCUCUGGGUCUUCUUGAAGAGAGUGAUUGGGGACGUCGGCAUGCUUGAAAAUCAUAUCCUCCGAGGAAGGAUCUAGUGUGUCGGGGAUAUUGAAUUCGGAGAAGAAAAAAUUAAGGUGGAGGGUAAGGGGGGGGUGCAACUUAAAAAAAUAAUAGCCGGGCAAAGAGAGAUCAGACUAAAUUUGUAUAGUCCAGUAGACAGACUGGAAUUGUGGGUGGCAUUUACGGUUUCACGUAAGAAGAAGCCCGUGUGCUUCUGGAAAGAUCUGUCCCCCAAAGGUACUCAGGCUCUCCUCUCUCUAGGUGUGUAAGAACCAUUAAGGGCGCGCUAAGACAAUCCUUGUCUAGUUUAGGAGGUGUAGGCGGUAACCAUCCUGGCUAGGUGACCACCCCGCCCUUGGGUCUUGCUUUACUAGUGCUUUUGUGUUUCACCUCCAAGUUUUCAGUGUUACAGACAACACAGAAGGAAGGGGGUGGGGGUGGAGGGAGAGCUGCACCCAAGGUCCUAGUCAGUUCGAAGCAAAGGCUUGCGCUCGAGAACUGGGGGCUAAUGUUGGAAUUUCCUUUUUAUUAUUUUUAUUAUUUUUAAUAAUAAAUUUAUUUUUUAUUGGUGUUCAAUUUGCCAACAUACAGAAUAACACCCAGUGCUCAUCCCGUCAAGUGCCCCCCUCAG